rnacentral:rRNA from 1 species
UACGGAGGGUGCGAGCGUUGUCCGGAAUCACUGGGCGUAAAGGGCGCGUAGGUGGCGGGACAAGCGUGCGGUGAAAGCCUGGGGCUCAACCCCGGGUCGGCCGUGCGAACUGUUUUGCUUGAGCACUGUAGAGGCAGGCGGAAUUCCGGGUGUAGCGGUGGAAUGCGUAGAGAUCCGGAAGAACACCGGUGGCGAAGGCGGCCUGCUGGGCAGUAGCUGACACUGAGGCGCGACAGCGUGGGGAGCAAACAGG